rnacentral:misc_RNA from 1 species
UACAUCAUGUAUGAAAUCGAAUUCAAAAAAAAAAUCUGAUUGAUUCAUGAUAAUAUUUACCAUUGGCAUCUAAUAUAGGGGUGUCUUAAAGGCUUAGGAGGAAGUAGUAAAUGCAAAACGGUAAAGUUAAAUGGUUUAAUAAUGAAAAGGGUUUCGGUUUUAUCGAAGUUGAAGGCGGCGACGAUGUAUUCGUACAUUUCAGCGCAAUUACAGGUGAUGGCUUUAAAUCACUAGAAGAAGGUCAAGAAGUUUCUUUUGAAAUCGUUGAAGGAAACCGUGGACCUCAAGCUGCAAACGUUGCAAAACUUUAAUCUUAUAAAUCAAAGGCUGACGAUUUGACGUCAGCCUUUUUAC